GGGACCCGUCUUGAAACACGGACCAAGGAGUCUAGCAUGUGCGCGAGUCAUUGGGACUCUAACGAAACCUAAAGGCGUAAUGAAAGUGAAGGCUCGCCUAGCGCGAGCCGCGGGAGGAUGGGUGUCCCCGAGGGGACGCCUCGCACUCCCAGGGCGUCUCGUUCUCAUUGCGAGAAGAGGCGCACCAAGAGCGUACACGCUGGGACCCGAAAGAUGGUGAACUAUGCCUGGUCAGGACGAAGUCAGGGGAAACCCUGAUGGAGGUCCGUAGCGAUUCUGACGUGCAAAUCGAUCGUCGGAACUGGGUAUAGGGGCGAAAGACUAAUCGAACCAUCUAGUAGCUGGUUCCCUCCGAAGUUUCCCUCAGGAUAGCUGGCGCUCGCUUCUCGCGAGUCUCAUUCGGUAAAGCGAAUGAUUAGAGGCAUUGGGGUCGAAACGGCCUCAACCUAUUCUCAAACUUUAAAUGGGUGAGAUCUCCGGCUUGCUUGAACUGUGAAGCCGCGAGAUAUCGGAUCAGAGUGCCAAGUGGGCCACUUUUGGUAAGCAGAACUGGCGCUGUGGGAUGAACCAAACGCCGAGUUAAAGCGCCUAAAUCGACGCUUAUGGGAUACCAUGAAAGGCGUUGGUAACUUAAGACAGCAGGACGGUGGCCAUGGAAGUCGGAAUCCGCUAAGGAGUGUGUAAA
rnacentral:rRNA from 1 species